CUCCAUCUCUUGACUUCAGCUGGCGACCGGUCUCCCUGGCUAAUUUGACAGACUACAAGCAAUUCAAGAGGGAAACUUCUGUCUUUGCAGAAACAUGUGGAGUUUGGCAGGAAUGCACAUCCAAGCUCCCUUUGCCACAAAGGGGCUUUGAUGAAACAUGGCUGAUCCGGGAUCCCCUACUGGGGGUCUGCAAAGACAAUUCCAUUGCCUUUAUGAAUUCUAAGAAAAGUGCGUGGACCAAGGCAGCUGAGAGACUGGCCCCUUUCCAAAUACAAGGAGAGAAACCAGUAUGGAAGAAGAAAACGCAAAUAAGUAUUAGCAGAUGUAAGGGAGUUGGAGUUUUUGUUUUCUGUACAGUUUUAAGUGUAUACAUAAGUUCCUCACACCUGCAGAUUGAGUUUAUUAAGUUUUGUUCUCUGCUUCCUAAAGCAGAAUAAACCCUAUGUAGACUGUGAGCCCAUCUGGGAAGGAUGUUUUUAACUCUGUAAAGGUGCUCUCUCACCCCAAACCCACAAGUCAAACCUCCCCUCCUGCUCAUGUCUCCCUGUUAUUUCGCAACCAGGGAGCUGCCAGCAGGUAGGAGUAGGGGAGAUUAUGUGGGGUGGGGACCAGCUCAGAAAUGACCAGCAACAGAUGAAGACAAAAACGAGAGCCGGUCGUGGCCCUGCAGCUGCACUUUAUGGACAGUGGACUCAUCCAUAAAGUAGAAAGCACUACUAAACGCUCGUGUCCAAGUGUAGUGUUUCCUACUUUAUGGAUGAGUGUACUGUGAGCAACGGAAGCAACAAGGAGGAACGGAGCCUGGCACAGGGCUGGGGAGAGGGCGGAGAAACAGCAGAAGGUGGAAGUGUCACUGGAGGGGGGGUGUCAUGGUUGAAUACACAUGGCUUGUCACAUUGUCACUCAAAUACAGGUGUAUCCCCUUCCUUCCCCAAAAAUCUUGUACAUAACAUUUUCAACUAUAAUGCUUGUAGUGUGUAACUCUGAACUCAAGUCAAAUGGAAGGGUGGGCAGCAAGACUUGAAAGAAAGGGCAUGUUGUAUUGGCACCAAAUAAGGAUCUUCAAAAGUUAUGCUGCCAUUUCCUCACGACUUUGCUACAUUUGCGCACAAUACCCUCCAACCUGCCACAUAUCCAUACUUGAAUACUUUCAGAAAGUAGGAGUGGGAAUUGGUUAUGAUCCCAAUAUCAGAAUCCCUUAACGCUUGCUUCUCUGGUCAGAUGUGCAUGGAAGGUGCUCACAGACCCUCUCCAUGACCAACAUACCCUGAAUGAGCUUUGUAGUUUGGAUAACUGUGAGAACGGGCUUCUUGGGAGAGCAGGUUACUACCACUGCUUGAGGGUACAGUAGCUGUAGUUGUGGGCCUGAAAAGGGGAGCAGCUACUACUUGGUGAAUUGAAUGCUCACUUACAUCAUUAAAAUAAACUGUCCAAUUUUAA